rnacentral:rRNA from 1 species
GAUCCUGGCUUAGGAUGAACGCUAGCUACAGGCUUAACACAUGCAAGUCGAGGGGCAGCAUGAUCUAAGCUUGCUUAGAUUGAUGGCGACCGGCGCACGGGUGAGUAACGCGUAUCCAACCUUCCCUAUAGUAGAGGAUAGCCCGGCGAAAGUCGGAUUAAUACUCUAUGUUUUCCAAUGCAGACAUCUAAGUUGGAACAAAGGUUUACCGCUAUAGGAUGGGGAUGCGUCUGAUUAGAUAGUAGGCGGGGUAACGGCCCACCUAGUCGACGAUCAGUAGGGGUUCUGAGAGGAAGGUCCCCCACAUUGGAACUGAGACACGGUCCAAACUCCUACGGGAGGCAGCAGUGAGGAAUAUUGGUCAAUGGGCGAGAGCCUGAACCAGCCAAAGUAGCGUGCAGGAAGACGGCCCUAUGGGUUGUAAACUGCUUUUAUCGGGGGAUAAAGUGAGGGACGUGUCCCUUAUUGUAGGUACCCGAUGAAUAAGGACCGGCUAAUUCCGUGCCAGCCGCUGC